UCAAUAAAUAACAAAAGGUCCAUUAUUUUGAUAGUUACUGGUAAUUCCUUAUAUGGGAUAAAACCAAUUUCUUUUAAACUUGCAACAAGCUGUACACUGAGCCAUAUAAGAAUUGCAGUAAGGAUUUUCGUAUAUACUGAAGAAUAAACUUUUCUCAACUUAUAUACAUUCCUGACAGCUAACAAUUUUUCUAUAGUCAACCAUGUAGUCACAACUAUAGUACACAUUCAUUAAACUGUAUAAAUAAAUGGUAAAUACAUACAAAAAAUAAAUAAAAAUUACAAAAUGUAAACAACUAUAUCACAGACUUUAAAAUAAAUUAAUAAACAAUUAUAUAUAAACACAAUAUCAUAAAUAAUUAAACAACUUUAUGAGGCGGUGUCGGAUAGAAAUUGACCUUAUGCAAAUGAAUAUCAAUACAUCUGUUCACCAAAUUUCUGAUUGUUUGAAAUCUCUAUGAAAAGUCUAACAAUUUGAAAAUUGAAUAGUAAUGGAUCCAACAAAACAGACCAAAAAUCAUCUUUUAUUUCGUAUCUGAAUAUUCCAAAACCAAUCAAAGUCUUAUAUAUAUACAUGUAUAUGUGCACUUGCAUAAGGUUGAUUUCUGUUGGACACAGCUCAAAUGAUAAUCACUUUAUUAUAAAUUACAAAACUUGUUAUAGCACUGAAUUAACAUUCCCUAACAAUAAGGUCCCAAAUAUUUCUCUGAAAUGUCAACUUUUAAAUCAUCAAAACAAUCUACAUAAUUUACAAAGUGUUGGUCUUUAUAAAAAUAACCCAACUAUGUGCAGCCUGCUCUUGACAUUUUUCUAACAAAUUUUUGCAGAAAAGAAGUAAUUUUGCCAUUUUUAAAACUAAAAUUCAUCUAUUGUUCUUCAUGUAAUAAAGUCCAAUAUACAAAUUUUGUAAACAUGAUUAUUAAAUGAACCAAAAUCUUUAAAACCUUCCAUGAAUUUUCAAUCAGCUGCA
rnacentral:lncRNA from 1 species